rnacentral:rRNA from 1 species
AUUGAACGCUGGCGGCAGGCCUAACACAUGCAAGUCGAACGGUAACAGGAAGAAGCUUGCUUCUUUGCUGACGAGUGGCGGACGGGUGAGUAAUGUCUGGGAAACUGCCUGAUGGAGGGGGAUAACUACUGGAAACGGUAGCUAAUACCGCAUAACGUCGCAAGACCAAAGAGGGGGACCUUCGGGCCUCUUGCCAUCGGAUGUGCCCAGAUGGGAUUAGCUAGUAGGUGGGGUAACGGCUCACCUAGGCGACGAUCCCUAGCUGGUCUGAGAGGAUGACCAGCCACACUGGAACUGAGACACGGUCCAGACUCCUACGGGAGGCAGCAGUGGGGAAUAUUGCACAAUGGGCGCAAGCCUGAUGCAGCCAUGCCGCGUGUAUGAAGAAGGCCUUCGGGUUGUAAAGUACUUUCAGCGGGGAGGAAGGGAGUAAAGUUAAUACCUUUACUCAUUGACGUUACCUGCAGAAGAAGCACCGGCUAACUCCGUG